rnacentral:rRNA from 1 species
GAUGAACGCUGGCGGCAUGCCUAAUACAUGCAAGUCGAACGAGAGGAAGGAAAGCUUGCUUUUCUGAAUCUAGUGGCGAACGGGUGAGUAACACGUAGGUAACCUGCCCAUGUGCCCGGGAUAACUUCUGGAAACGGAUGCUAAAACCGGCUAGGUAGCAGACAAGCAUUUGACUGCUAUUAAAGUGGCUAAGGCCAUGAACAUGGAUGGACCUGCGGUGCAUUAGCUAGUUGGUGAGGUAACGGCCCACCAAGGCGGCGAUGCAUAGCCGGCCUGAGAGGGCGGACGGCCACAUUGGGACUGAGACACGGCCCAAACUCCUACGGGAGGCAGCAGUAGGGAAUUUUCGUCAAUGGGGGGAACCCUGAACGAGCAAUGCCGCGUGAGUGAGGAAGGUCUUCGGAUCGUAAAGCUCUGUUGUAAGAGAAAAACGACAUUCAUAGGGAAUGAUGAGUGAGUGAUGGUAUCUUACCAGAAAGUCACGGCUAACUACGUGCCAGCAGCCGCAGUAAUAC